rnacentral:misc_RNA from 1 species
UCAUCGCCUUUUGCUAUUUUUCUCUCUUUCUUAUAACCUCUAACUUUCUCUCCCUAGACUUGCUAAUAUGCAUGGAAUAAAUUGGAGUAAAUAAUGAACAAUUAUAUUUUAAAACUAAGAUGACUCGCAAUGAGGAAUCAAAAUAUCAAAAUACAAUAAUGAUAAAAAACAAAUCAUAGCUUUCAAAGAUCAAGAAUUAAUUGAG